rnacentral:tRNA from 1 species
GCCCCCGUAGCUCAACGGAUAGAGCGUAGGCCUCCGAAGCUUAAAAUAGAGGUUCAAUUCCUCUCGGGGGCA